CUCAGACGGGGCAGCUGGAGCAGCUCCCCUGCGGGCGGGGAAGGGAAGGAAAUGUCACCCCUCCGUGAGGCAAAUCAGGGGACCCCGCUUGACCCCACCCCCAGUGCUCGCUGUGCACCCCGUACAGGACUGCCUGGGUGUGACUUUGUACCCAGGGUCCUUACUCUGGGUUUUAGAGGGAGCUUAGAGAAUCUGGCACAACCAAGAACUUGGUCUCUUGAGAACAAUCGAGUUUUGAGGACAUUUUGACCAGCAGGGGUUGGGAGGGCUUCCGCCCUGCCUUGUUGGCUAAACCUGGGGUGUGAAUCCUGCGCAGACACUGGCCGUCCUGCAGUGCCCGGGCGCCCUGGGCAGCCGACUGUGGGCAGGACGGCCCACGUUGAAGAGAAGUCCCGUUUUGUGACCCAGGCCAGGGCCCACGUGGGGGCCGAGUGGGGGCCGCCAUGCCCGCUUUCCUCAGCCUGCCCCCUGCCCGCCAGGGCCGGGCCCCCACCCCCCCAGGCAGGGACCCCCCCCACAGGCAGGGACACCAGAGCCCACGGCCUCGACUCAGUCCUCGCUGGACCUUUCACCUUUGCCUGUCUCGGAGGCUUUUGUUACAUCAGAAGCAAUUAUGUCUUAAAGAGUACACGCCAGCUUCCCGCAAGGCAUUAAUUUCUGUGGAAUUUAUUUUAUUUAAAUAACCUUGUUGCUCUCCAGACGCUACAAUCCCGGCCUUCCUGGUGGUCUGACGCAGGCCUGGCCCGUCCCCUCGGGGCAGGCAGAGCGGGAGGAGCCAGGCAGCGCUGGGAGGGGGGCUGCCCGCCUGCCCUUUUCCUCCAAAAACAAACAAAAACAAAAAGAAGCAUCUGGGUUUUUUCAUUUCUAAAACAGUUUACACCAAAAUACAAGGUCUCCCCCAACCACAAGCUUGAUUGAGCGCGAGGAGUAAAGUUAGCUCUAAACUCUGUGAAACUGGUGAAUCUCUCAGAGGGUUUCUUUUUAUCAAAAGGAUACAGACGGGAAGGGCAGAGUGCUGCGAUCACGUGUGUCCCUGUCCCCGGCGUGUCCCGUGGCGGCCCCCGGGCUCUGCGCCCCCGCGGCCUGGUGGGGGGGUCUGACUCGGUCCUGACUGAGCUCCUGUUCCCGGCCGCGUCUGCACCGCCCGGUCCGCUGUUUGCAGGAACGAGCCCUCAGCCCCAGGGGUUCUCUCAGGGUGGGCUGGUGACUCGUCAGGGACCAGAGCCAUCCUUCCGGACACAGCCACCAACGGCCAGAGGCGGCCUGUGUGGGGGCUCUCCGUGGAGUCGGCCCCGAAAGCUGUUUGCUUCUCCAGACUUUGAGUCACAUGCUUUUAAUUUUGUUUCUGAAUCCGGACACUGUAUGAAUGUAAUUCAGCCAAGAGCCCUUCCCCGAGGCGCCUCCCCAUGUCCUCUGUGUGCGUGCUGACGUGACCACCUGCAUGAGCGUCCUCCGCGCCGCGAGCGGCCAGAGCGAGCAUGAGACGCUGUCACGGAGACCGGACCGGAGAUGUUCUCAAUAAAACCAUGUCUCACUGCUGCAGCCUGCCGAGGUUCUCUCUCCUCCCUGCUCCUCCCCGCCUUGGUGCAGAGCGUAACCCAGGAAGGUGCACGGAGGCGCCAGCCUCGUGUCCUGUCAUCGGUGUGUGGCUCCGAGCACCUCCCUUGGGGACGGGCCCCCUACACCCCCCGCCACUCCCACGUGAGAGGUGGGGGCCGCCCCUGCUCCUGUCCUGUCUGCACGGAGGGGUGCUGGCAGCAGCCCCCAGGGCCAGAGGGGCAAGAAACCGGGCAGCAGAGCUGGAACCAGACGGUCUGGGUGCCGGGUGGGCGGGGAGGCAGCCCAGCCGCCGGGUUACGAGGGAGAGCAGUUGUUUGGGACCAGCACUGGAGGAGGAUGUCCUCGGUGACGCUGGCUGCAAGCAUGUCCAGGUCCGUGGUAGUGAAGACACGCGGGCGCUCCGGUCAGCAGGUGCACGAGCACGCGGAGCAGUCUGGACGGGACCCCUCUGGUCGCCAUGGGUGAAGGAUGGGAUUUCGGGUCAUGUUAUUUCCCCUUUUAAAAAUAAUGUCUUUCCCGAAUAUUUCUAUAAUUAAAUGAAAAUAGGAAAAUCUUUUGAAAAGUCAAAAACUCACGCAAAUAAAAAGCAGCAGUGCUACAGACAACGCACGUGCUCUCUGCGUCAGUUUUGAUUCCGUUUUCAUUUCUUUUCCCACAAAAAAAAGCGAGAUUUAAGUGACAAUAUGUUGCAUCACAAGACGGAUUCGGCUGCAGAGCAGGACUGGGAGCGGCGCCUCCCUCGCAGCUUCGUCCUCGGUGCCUCCCGCGCGCGCGCUCCCCCGGGGAAAAGCGGGAGGGCUCUCGAGGCACGGUCCGGAGGGGAGGACAGGGCCGGACGGGGCAGCUGCCUGAGAAACCGUUAAAUCAACAAGCGUUAGCACCAGUUCCGAUGAGCUGAUCAGCGUCGUGAUUAGCGAUGUCUUUACGAAGGCGGCACGAGCAGCCUGAGUGAGCCAGGCGCUUGGGGCGCGGCCGGCGCCGGGGCCCCGGGUUCCAGGACUGAGGAGCCAGCAGGUGGGCCCGGCCGUCCUGCAGAGUCGCCUCUUGUAAGCCCACAAUUAUGCCGAAAACAAGAUCCUGACUCCUGGGGUCCGUCAUUGGCCGCGUCCUCCCGGUGCCUGGAAAGCGGCGCGGGACGUGCCGAUCACACUGGAGACGCACCUGUUCCCUUGUGAGUGGCACAAAGUCGGGGACGUGUUCCUGUGGUUUCUGAAGACUGUCACCCAUGUGACAGGAGCCCGAGCCCGAGCCAGACUGUGACAGGAGACCCAUUGCUUCCCCGGUUCUGGUCAGACCCUCAGGCCUGACGCAGUGCUGGCUCCGGAGGCGGCGGCGGGCAGGAGCCCCCGGAAGAAGCCCUGGGCCUGCAAGACUGACGCGCUUUGUAGCACGUCGGUGAAGCGGGCGCCGCAGCCCUCGGACCCAUCACACUGACCAUAAACACGUGCACGCGUGUGCGCGGGGCAGGGCACGCGGUUGAACACUCACUUGGCACCAAGUCCUCCGGAGCAGACCAGGGCCGUGCAAAGGCCCUGUGCCGUGAGCACCCCUUCCCCACCGUAGGCACAGGGGCGACCAAGGACUCGGGUGGCAGACCUGCUCCCCCACCCCCAGCUCGUCCGCCUGCCUCGCCAUCCACACCAGCCACCUGGUGGCCGGACCUCAUAAGGAGAAGAUGACCUUGUGAGGAGAAAGGACAUGUGAGGCGUGCAGCUGUUUGAAAAUCAGAACAGUAGUGCAGAUGAGAGACUCCAUCGGAGCGCAUGCUAACAUUUAAGAACAGACAGUCCACGAGUUUAAAAAUGAACUUAGUAAACAUCCUGAAAGAGGUGAGACAGGAGAACCAAGCAGAAUUUGAAGGCGUGAACACCACAGACGAGCUAAGCGAUAGAAUGAAUGAGCAGUUGGAGGACCAGCGGGCGGAGGCGGGGCAGUGGACAAAGGGAAAGAAAAUGAAAGAAAGGCUGAAACACUCGGGUGCUGACACCUGGCUAGUGGGGUGUCCAUGUAGCCUGUCCCCCACCCAGGGCACUUCAGACGUGCGCGCCAGAGCCACUGCAGAUGGCGCUGUAAGUCUGGGACCUCCUUAAGAAACAAAAAACGAAGCUCCGUAAAUGGAGGAACGGCCUGGACGAAACAGCAGUGGCCAAAGGUGGCACAUCGCUGGAACUGGUACAGAGGGAUUUAUCGUACUGCCCUCUCUACAAUGACCUGUUCAAACUUCUUCAUAAGGAAUUUUCAGUGCUUAAGCAUUGACUUAAAAAUACCAUGCACGGUGCUCUUAGUGAUCAUGGGUUUUUUUUUUUACACAAAACAGGUAAUGCACACACUAAAAAAUUUAAUGACGUGAAUUUUCCAAGUUUAAAAAAAUAAGAGAAAUAGAAAGUUUUGAAGUCGCAAUCAUUGACUUCGAGUCGUUUUACACGCAUUUUCAUGGAAAUGAGAACUUGGUGCGUCAGCUGCAUUCUCUGGCACCACUGCCCCUGCUUGGUGUUCGUCCCCGACACUCAGCACUCUGACGUGACUGGUGUUCACCUGUCCUCCCACGGAACGUAAACGUCGUAGGUCAGAGACACCCGCUUCUCACGGCUUUUCCCCACCCCGGGCGCAGCCCUGCCACGCUGCAGGCAGCGAACGAGUACACGCCGAUUUAGUAAGAACAAGUUACUAUUCAAAACGGGCACAUGGUGCCUCAAAGAGACCUACUGUGGAAGGAGUUUUGAUGAGAUGCUUUUCAAGAACCCUCGCAAGAGGUUUGUGACGUAAAAGUUACCAGUACGUCAGCAAGUCUGUGGAAGUUUUAAAGAGCUGAACAAAAAGGGAAAGAACGCACAGCGCUGAUAAUCCGGAGCUUCAGGCCUGGGUGAUGUCCACGUGGCAGAGGCUGGAGUGAAGAGAAGGCUACAGGAUGCGAGAAUAUGUUCAGGUUUUUGUCCUACUGGGGUGGAAAUAGAAGCACACAUUAUUUUUAUGAUGAACAGGUGUCAAAGAUUUUACUUAACCCUAGUUAAUGAGGGAACCAGUAAGAUGCUAAACUGAUCCAUGAGAAUUUGACUUCUUCUACCAGGUUAAGUGCAUUUGGCCUUUUCUCUGCUUGUCUCGGACAGAACACAGCAGAGCCAAAGUGGAACUCAGCAGCGGGUGGUGGUGUCUGACCCCGUGCGUGUGAGCGUCUCGGGGACGUUGAGCACCCCCGCUACGCCCUCCGCCGGCAUUUGACGAGGUUACACAGUUUCACGGGUCUCCUUGCUUCUCUAUUCAUUUCUGAUUUUACAUCGGUGCAUGUUGUUAAUGCUGCAGACACACGUUGCAGAGUGCCAGCCAUCAGAAUGGUUAGUUUUCGGCAAUACAGAGCUUUCUUUUUCACUGAACACACCGGAAGCUUUGAUUAUGAGGCUUACCCGAUCUAAUGAGGAAGGGCUUUUUAAAUUUUCUUUAAAAUUCUCAUUUACUCUUUAGCUUCUGGGAAUAAAGUCCAGUACACACAUAUACACAAAUCUUUUUUAUCAUUCUCCUCACUCAGUAUAUAACCUGCGCAUUUACCUACAUAUUUCAUUAAAUUGUUGCAAAUUAAGUUAGAAAAGCAGCAUGUAGACUCAUUUUCUUGUAAUGGAAUAUUAUAAAGUGUGUCAAUUAAUUAUGUUAAGUGUAUAUGUUUUAAAUCAUGACUUCAUUGCCUUCAAUCAUUUAUAAGUUGUAUCCUAUAAUUUUAUUUCUCAGAAUUUUCUUUUUUAAAAUCCCUGGGAAAAACAUGUUAACACUUUUAUUUCAAUUGGAAAAAGUGAGUCAGACCUUGUCUGACAGAAAACAAAUCUAAUUUGGUUCACUGGUUUGACAAGGAGGGUUAGGUUACAUGGAGGACGCUGACCAUCAAUAGAGCAAAAUAAAUCUGCAGCUCCGAGGUUUGAUGAAAAUAGAUUUAAAAUAAUGGUACGAUAAAAGUGUUUUAUUGAAAAAUGUCAAAUGGGUGAAAAAAAUCAAUGAAAUGAACAUUUCAAUGUUCCCAACCCUCUCAGAAUUUAUCAGGCCAAACAAGUUACUGCCAGAUGAGGGAGAAUCAUGGAUACAUGACAGUCCCUUGAUAAGCUGAGAUGAGGCCUCUCCAGUAAAUGUCCCAGAAAUUGAGAGUGAGAGGAUGACAAGUCCUUUUACAGAGGCUGCUGCACAGGGACUCCAUGAGCCGCUGAGGGCGCUGCUGAAACGCGCCGCCUCGUCUGUGCUGCAAAGUGUCCUGGACUUGUGUCUCGAAAGAAAAGACUAGAAAUACAGCCAAGACGGAAGCAGGCUGCUCCCCAUCCUUGCACGUGGGAACCACCUAGUCAGAAGAACAGCUCUCCUCAUCUCGCUGAGAGAUGCAUUUUCACUAAAAUUUUGCUUUUGUGUGCAAUAGAUGCAUAUUUAUGUUGUUUGAAUAAUUGUGAACUGAGUACUUGAAAAAAAUAACUUAAUCCAGGAAAUAUUAUUAACAAUUAAAGCCUGUUGGCCACAAGA